rnacentral:rRNA from 1 species
GGUUAAGCGACUAAGCGUACACGGUGGAUGCCCUGGCAGUCAGAGGCGAUGAAGGACGUGCUAAUCUGCGAUAAGCGUCGGUGAGGUGAUAUGAACCGUUAUAACCGGCGAUUUCCGAAUGGGGAAACCCAGUGUGUUUCGACACACUAUCAUUAACUGAAUCCAUAGGUUAAUGAGGCGAACCGGGGGAACUGAAACAUCUAAGUACCCCGAGGAAAAGAAAUCAACCGAGAUUCCCCCAGUAGCGGCGAGCGAACGGGGAGGAGCCCAGAGCCUGAAUCAGUGUGUGUGUUAGUGGAAGCGUCUGGAAAGGCGCGCGAUACAGGGUGACAGCCCCGUACACAAAAAUGCACAUACUGUGAGCUCGAUGAGUAGGGCGGGACACGUGGUAUCCUGUCUGAAUAUGGGGGGACCAUCCUCCAAGGCUAAAUACUCCUGACUGACCGAUAGUGAACCAGUACCGUGAGGGAAAGGCGAAAAGAACCCCGGCGAGGGGAGUGAAAAAGAACCUGAAACCGUGUACGUACAAGCAGUGGGAGCCUCUUUAUGGGGUGACUGCGUACCUUUUGUAUAAUGGGUCAGCGACUUAUAUUCUGUAGCAAGGUUAACCGAAUAGGGGAGCCGAAGGGAAACCGAGUCUUAACUGGGCGUUAAGUUGCAGGGUAUAGACCCGAAACCCGGUGAUCUAGCCAUGGGCAGGUUGAAGGUUGGGUAACACUAACUGGAGGACCGAACCGACUAAUGUUGAAAAAUUAGCGGAUGACUUGUGGCUGGGGGUGAAAGGCCAAUCAAACCGGGAGAUAGCUGGUUCUCCCCGAAAGCUAUUUAGGUAGCGCCUCGUGAAUUCAUCUCCGGGGGUAGAGCACUGUUUCGGCAAGGGGGUCAUCCCGACUUACCAACCCGAUGCAAACUGCGAAUACCGGAGAAUGUUAUCACGGGAGACACACGGCGGGUGCUAACGUCCGUCGUGAAGAGGGAAACAACCCAGACCGCCAGCUAAGGUCCCAAAGUCAUGGUUAAGUGGGAAACGAUGUGGGAAGGCCCAGACAGCCAGGAUGUUGGCUUAGAAGCAGCCAUCAUUUAAAGAAAGCGUAAUAGCUCACUGGUCGAGUCGGCCUGCGCGGAAGAUGUAACGGGGCUAAACCAUGCACCGAAGCUGCGGCAGCGACACUAUGUGUUGUUGGGUAGGGGAGCGUUCUGUAAGCCUGUGAAGGUGUACUGUGAGGUAUGCUGGAGGUAUCAGAAGUGCGAAUGCUGACAUAAGUAACGAUAAAGCGGGUGAAAAGCCCGCUCGCCGGAAGACCAAGGGUUCCUGUCCAACGUUAAUCGGGGCAGGGUGAGUCGACCCCUAAGGCGAGGCCGAAAGGCGUAGUCGAUGGGAAACAGGUUAAUAUUCCUGUACUUGGUGUUACUGCGAAGGGGGGACGGAGAAGGCUAUGUUGGCCGGGCGACGGUUGUCCCGGUUUAAGCGUGUAGGCUGGUUUUCCAGGCAAAUCCGGAAAAUCAAGGCUGAGGCGUGAUGACGAGGCACUACGGUGCUGAAGCAACAAAUGCCCUGCUUCCAGGAAAAGCCUCUAAGCAUCAGGUAACAUCAAAUCGUACCCCAAACCGACACAGGUGGUCAGGUAGAGAAUACCAAGGCGCUUGAGAGAACUCGGGUGAAGGAACUAGGCAAAAUGGUGCCGUAACUUCGGGAGAAGGCACGCUGAUAUGUAGGUGAAGCGACUUGCUCGUGGAGCUGAAAUCAGUCGAAGAUACCAGCUGGCUGCAACUGUUUAUUAAAAACACAGCACUGUGCAAACACGAAAGUGGACGUAUACGGUGUGACGCCUGCCCGGUGCCGGAAGGUUAAUUGAUGGGGUUAGCGGUAACGCGAAGCUCUUGAUCGAAGCCCCGGUAAACGGCGGCCGUAACUAUAACGGUCCUAAGGUAGCGAAAUUCCUUGUCGGGUAAGUUCCGACCUGCACGAAUGGCGUAAUGAUGGCCAGGCUGUCUCCACCCGAGACUCAGUGAAAUUGAACUCGCUGUGAAGAUGCAGUGUACCCGCGGCAAGACGGAAAGACCCCGUGAACCUUUACUAUAGCUUGACACUGAACAUUGAGCCUUGAUGUGUAGGAUAGGUGGGAGGCUUUGAAGUGUGGACGCCAGUCUGCAUGGAGCCGGCCUUGAAAUACCACCCUUUAAUGUUUGAUGUUCUAACGUUGGCCCCUGACCGGGGUUGCGGACAGUGUCUGGUGGGUAGUUUGACUGGGGCGGUCUCCUCCUAAAGAGUAACGGAGGAGCACGAAGGUUGGCUAAUCCUGGUCGGACAUCAGGAGGUUAGUGCAAUGGCAUAAGCCAGCUUGACUGCGAGCGUGACGGCGCGAGCAGGUGCGAAAGCAGGUCAUAGUGAUCCGGUGGUUCUGAAUGGAAGGGCCAUCGCUCAACGGAUAAAAGGUACUCCGGGGAUAACAGGCUGAUACCGCCCAAGAGUUCAUAUCGACGGCGGUGUUUGGCACCUCGAUGUCGGCUCAUCACAUCCUGGGGCUGAAGUAGGUCCCAAGGGUAUGGCUGUUCGCCAUUUAAAGUGGUACGCGAGCUGGGUUUAGAACGUCGUGAGACAGUUCGGUCCCUAUCUGCCGUGGGCGCUGGAGAACUGAGGGGGGCUGCUCCUAGUACGAGAGGACCGGAGUGGACGCAUCACUGGUGUUCGGGUUGUCAUGCCAAUGGCACUGCCCGGUAGCUAAAUGCGGAAGAGAUAAGUGCUGAAAGCAUCUAAGCACGAAACUUGCCCCGAGAUGAGUUCUCCCUGACUCCUUGAGAGUCCUGAAGGAACGUUGAAGACGACGACGUUGAUAGGCCGGGUGUGUAAGCGCAGCGAUGCGUUGAGCUAACCGGUACUAAUGAACCGUGAGGCUUAACCUU